rnacentral:rRNA from 1 species
CCUGGCUCAGGAUGAACGCUAGCUACAGGCUUAACACAUGCAAGUCGAGGGGCAGCAUGGUCUUAGCUUGCUAAGGCCGAUGGCGACCGGCGCACGGGUGAGUAACACGUAUCCAACCUGCCGUCUACUCUUGGACAGCCUUCUGAAAGGAAGAUUAAUACAAGAUGGCAUCAUGAGUCCGCAUGUUCACAUGAUUAAAGGUAUUCCGGUAGACGAUGGGGAUGCGUUCCAUUAGAUAGUAGGCGGGGUAACGGCCCACCUAGUCUUCGAUGGAUAGGGGUUCUGAGAGGAAGGUCCCCCACAUUGGAACUGAGACACGGUCCAAACUCCUACGGGAGGCAGCAGUGAGGAAUAUUGGUCAAUGGGCGAGAGCCUGAACCAGCCAAGUAGCGUGAAGGAUGACUGNCCUAUGGGUUGUAAACUUCUUUUAUAAAGGAAUAAAGUCGGGUAUGGAUACCCGUUUGCAUGUACUUUAUGAAUAAGGAUCGGCUAACUCCGUGCCAGCAGCCGCGGUAAUACGGAGGAUCCGAGCGUUAUCCGGAUUUAUUGGGUUUAAAGGGAGCGUAGAUGGAUGUUUAAGUCAGUUGUGAAAGUUUGCGGCUCAACCGUAAAAUUGCAGUUGAUACUGGAUAUCUUGAGUGCAGUUGAGGCAGGCGGAAUUCGUGGUGUAGCGGUGAAAUGCUUAGAUAUCACGAAGAACUCCGAUUGCGAAGGCAGCCUGCUAAGCUGCAACUGACAUUGAGGCUCGAAAGUGUGGGUAUCAAACAGGAUUAGAUACCCUGGUAGUCCACACGGUAAACGAUGAAUACUCGCUGUUUGCGAUAUACUGCAAGCGGCCAAGCGAAAGCGUUAAGUAUUCCACCUGGGGAGUACGCCGGCAACGGUGAAACUCAAAGGAAUUGACGGGGGCCCGCACAAGCGGAGGAACAUGUGGUUUAAUUCGAUGAUACGCGAGGAACCUACCCNGGGCUUAAAUUGCAGAUGAAUUACGGUGAAAGCCGUAAGCCGCAAGGCAUCUGUGAAGGUGCUGCAUGGUUGUCGUCAGCUCGUGCCGUGAGGUGUCGGCUUAAGUGCCAUAACGAGCGCAACCCUUGUUGUCAGUUACUAACAGGUUCCGCUGAGGACUCUGACAAGACUGCCAUCGUAAGAUGUGAGGAAGGUGGGGAUGACGUCAAAUCAGCACGGCCCUUACGUCCGGGGCUACACACGUGUUACAAUGGGGGGUACAGAGGGCCGCUACCACGCGAGUGGAUGCCAAUCCCCAAAACCUCUCUCAGUUCGGACUGGAGUCUGCAACCCGACUCCACGAAGCUGGAUUCGCUAGUAAUCGCGCAUCAGCCACGGCGCGGUGAAUACGUUCCCGGGCCUUGUACACACCGCC